rnacentral:rRNA from 1 species
GACGAACGCUGGCGGCGUGCUUAACACAUGCAAGUCGAACGGAAAGGCCCUGCUUUUGUGGGGUGCUCGAGUGGCGAACGGGUGAGUAACACGUGAGUAACCUGCCCUUGACUUUGGGAUAACUUCAGGAAACUGGGGCUAAUACCGGAUAGGAGCUCCUGCUGCAUGGUGGGGGUUGGAAAGUUUCGGCGGUUGGGGAUGGACUCGCGGCUUAUCAGCUUGUUGGUGGGGUAGUGGCUUACCAAGGCUUUGACGGGUAGCCGGCCUGAGAGGGUGACCGGCCACAAUGGGACUGAGAGACGGCCCAGACUCCUACGGGAGGCAGCAGGGGGGAAUAUUGCACAAUGGGCGGAAGCCUGAUGCAGCAACGCCGCGUGCGGGAUGACGGCCUUCGGGUUGUAAACCGCUUUCGCCUGUGACGAAGCGGGAGUGACGGUAAUGGGUAAAGAAGCACCGGCUAACUACGUG